UACGAGGGGGGCAAGCGUUGUUCGGAAUUAUUGGGCGUAAAGAGCUUGUAGGCGGUUUGUCGCGUCUGCCGUGAAAAUUCGAGGCUCAACCUCGAACUUGCGGUGGGUACGGGCAGACUAGAGUGUGGUGGGGGAGACUGGAAUUCCUGGUGUAGCGGUGAAAUGCGCAGAUAUCAGGAGGAACACCGAUGGCGAAGGCAGGUCUCUGGGCCACUACUGACGCUGAGAAGCGAAAGCAUGGGGAGCGAACAGG
rnacentral:rRNA from 1 species